GAUGAACGCUGGCGGCGUGCCUAAUACAUGCAAGUCGAGCGAACAGACGAGGAGCUUGCUCCUCUGACGUUAGCGGCGGACGGGUGAGUAACACGUGGUUAACCUACCUAUAAGACUGGGAUAACUUCGGGAAACCGGAGCUAAUACCGGAUAAUAUAUUGAACCGCAUGGUUCAAUAGUGAAAGACGGUUUUGCUGUCACUUAUAGAUGGAUCCGCGCCGCAUUAGCUAGUUGGUAAGGUAACGGCUUACCAAGGCAAUGAUGCGUAGCCGACCUGAGAGGGUGAUCGGCCACACUGGAACUGAGACACGGUCCAGACUCCUACGGGAGGCAGCAGUAGGGAAUCUUCCGCAAUGGGCGAAAGCCUGACGGAGCAACGCCGCGUGAGUGAUGAAGGUCUUCGGAUCGUAAAACUCUGUUAUUAGGGAAGAACAAAUGUGUAAGUAACUAUGCACGUCUUGACGGUACCUAAUCAGAAAGCCACGGCUAACUACGUG
rnacentral:rRNA from 1 species